UGCGUAGGUGGCAGGGUAAGUCGGAUGUGAAAUCUCCGAGCUCAACUCGGAAAUGGCAUUGGAAACUACCCAGCUAGAGGGUCGGAGGGGGACUGGAAUUCUCGGUGUAGCAGUGAAAUGCGUAGAUAUCGAGAGGAACACCAGUGGCGAAGGCGAGUCCCUGGACGACUCCUGACACUGAGGCACGAAAGCUAGGGAGCAAACA
rnacentral:rRNA from 1 species